AUUGAACGCUAGCGGGAUGCCUUACACAUGCAAGUCGAACGGCAGCACGGACUUCGGUCUGGUGGCGAGUGGCGAACGGGUGAGUAGUGUGUAGGUACCUACCCCCGGGUUCGGGAUAGCUGCGGGAAACUGCAGGUAAUACCGAAUAAUGUCUCCGGACCAAAGGUGUGAUUCCACCUGGGGAGGGGCCUGCAUCCUAUUAGCUUGUUGGUGGGGUAACGGCCUACCAAGGCGACGAUGGGUAGCGGGUGUGAGAGCAUGACCCGCGUCAUUGGGACUGAGACACUGCCCAGACACCUACGGGUGGCUGCAGUCGAGAAUCUUCGGCAAUGGGCGCAAGCCUGACCGAGCGACGCCGCGUGCGGGAUGAAGGCCUUCGGGUUGUAAACCGCUGUCGUAGAGGAGGAAAUGCAGGAGGGUUCUCCCUCCUGUUUGACCUAUUCUAGGAGGAAGUACGGGCUAAGUUCGUGCCAGCCGCCGCAGUAA
rnacentral:rRNA from 1 species